AAAUAACUACGAGUGAAAACUUAAAAUUUAAAAGACUUGACGGUACCUCAAACCAACCUAGAGGAGCCUGUCCAAGAACCGAUAACCCACGAUCAACCCGACCCCCCUUAGCCAAACAGUCUAUAUACCGCCGUCGCCAGCCUACCUUGUAAAAGCAAUAAAGUAAGCAAAAUAGCACCAAAGCUAGUACGACAGGUCGAGGUGUAACUAAUAGGGGGGAGCAGGAUGGGCUACAUUUUCUAACCCAGAACAAACGAAUAUACCGUGAAACCGGAAACUGAAGUCGGAUUUAGCAGUAGAAUAAGAACAAAAUACUUAUCCGAAGCAUGCAAUGAGGUGCGU
rnacentral:rRNA from 1 species